CAGUCGCCGCGGUAAUACGUAGGUGGCAAGCGUUGCCCGGAAUUAUUGGGCGUAAAGGGCUCGCAGGCGGUUUCUUAAGUCUGAUGUGAAAGCCCCCGGCUCAACCGGGGAGGGUCAUUGGAAACUGGGAAACUUGAGUGCAGAAGAGGAGAGUGGAAUUCCACGUGUAGCGGUGAGAUGCGUAGAGAUGUGGAGGAACACCAGUGGCGAAGGCGACUCUCUGGUCUGUAACUGACGCUGAGGAGCGAAAGCGUGGGGAGCGAACAGGAUUAGAUACCCCAGUAGUCCCUGUCUCUUAUAC
rnacentral:rRNA from 1 species